rnacentral:rRNA from 1 species
UACGUAGGGUGCGAGCGUUGUUCGGAUUCAUUGGGCGUAAAGGGUGCGUAGGCGGCGCGGUAAGUCGGGUGUGAAAUCUCGGGGCUUAACUCCGAAACUGCAUUCGAUACUGCCGUGCUUGAGGACUGGAGAGGAGACUGGAAUUUACGGUGUAGCGGUGAAAUGCGUAGAUAUCGUAAGGAAGACCAGUGGCGAAGGCGGGUCUCUGGACAGUUCCUGACGCUGAGGCACGAAGGCCAGGGGGGCAAACGGG